rnacentral:lncRNA from 1 species
GGUGCUGGGAGCCAUUAGCCAAGUAGGUAUGACAAUUUCCUUGCCAGCGUACCCCAUGUUGCAGUGACAUUGAAUGUAUGUGACCUUGCUCAAGGACCAAGGCAGAUUAGGGUGUUCCCGGUUUUAAGAUAAUCGUGUUUAGGGCGUUCCCAGUUUAGGUUCCAGGUUUAAGGUUUAAGAUUAUUCCUGCUGGGAGUAGGGCGUAUCCUGCUGCCUGAGUUCCCCUUGAGUUCUCACGGGAUUCAGACAAUAUAUUUUGGGAGACAGAAGCCCAGUGGAGGUGGAUUUGGGAAGAGAACGUGGAUUUCCCCAGAACGUGAUUGUAGACGGCUGGUGUGAGUUCGGGAAUAAAGAGUUGCUGUUUGAAUCUACAA